GGUUUGACCCCCACCGGAAUUGUCUCACGCCGCGAAAACGCAGAUUUCCCAUUGCCGGCGUUUUCUUCCCGACAGGCUUUAUGCGACAGCGCAUGCAACGCGUGUUUGGGGUUUAAAGUCCGCUUGUGGUGUAGAUUGGUUUGGCUUCCUGCAUGCGGGAUGCGUCUUCAUCCCGAAUCGUAUUGGUGGCAGCGACUGCUUAAUCAUUUGGAUUCGGCUCCCCAUCAUUUAUUGAGUGACAGUUAAUUGCAAUUGCAGGGCAAAAGAAGGUAGGAGCUUGCAGAAGAAGAUCAAGUAGCAAGAUUGAACGCUCACGAAGACUGCAAUUUGUUCGUUAAGAGACGUUCGCAUAAAGAACAUUGGCGGGCUUUCUCAUAUUGAGAUCACUCAUGUGAUGGCAGCGCGAGGUACGAAUCGGAUAGUCAUCGGAUUACUUGAACCUGUUGUGAAAGUGUAUUUUGUGGUAGAUCAAAGUUCAACUCAUGGGAGAAUCUUUAAAAGUGCUUUAUUCAGCGGAGAAUUCGAGACAAAGCGCGGUGCCAAAAAUUAGUGGUGGGUAAAAAAACCCAUGAAGUAACAAUCAGAGGACAUUCUUUUAUUAGCCAAAUUGUGGAUUUUCAUUAUGAAGCUACAAAAUAGAAGGAACCAGAAAUUGCUCCAGUUAAAGUCUUUUGAGUUCUUCACUUGAAGGAUAUAACUUGUAUGCUAUUUGUUAAUAUCACAUGCAUAUUGACAAUGAAUUUUGAAAGCACUU